rnacentral:SRP_RNA from 1 species
GCCAGGUGUGGUGGUGCACACCUGUAGUCUCAGCUACUUGAGAGGCUGAGGCUUGAGGAUUGCUUGAGCCCAGGAGUCUGAGGCUGCAGUGAGCCAUGAUCACACUACUGCACCCCAGCCUGGGCAACAGAGUAAGACUCUAUCUCUA